AUCCACUUAUCAGUGAGUACAUAUUGUGUGAGUUCCUUUGUGAAUUCAGUCAGAAUCAUGACACAGGCAAGGAGGCUUGGAAAAGUGAACAUUGGAAGGAAAACUACAGGGUUCAUUCCAAAUGGUCAGAGGGCUUUUGGGGGGAUGUGUUUUUUGUUUGUUUGUGUGUUUUAUUUCAUUUUUUUCCACAGAACUAAAAGCUGGGGUGGUGAGGAAGAAGAUGUCCAAGAGUAGAAUAAAGUUCUUAGACUGCUAAUUCCUUUCCAUAUCCCCUCCUUCUUCUGUUUUCUAAUUACAAGAAAUUUCAUAGAACCAAAUCAUCUAUCACAGAAAGUGAGGAGGUUUGUGAAGAACCAUGAACUAAAAACUUAGAUAAAGAUAAUACCUACCACCUUUGAGAAAUAACAAGGUUCUUUAUGCUUCUCGUGAAAAGAACUACUGAAAUGCACAUCAUAUGCAUAGACAUGUCUCAUAAAUCUUUUCUAUGUGCAAUCACCAUGCCAUGUGCAUUGAAACAUUCCAUGCUGUUUCUUUGUAGUAAAGUACUAAUUCUAGGUAAUAAAGGCAACUUAUCUCUCAAAGGACCAAACUGUUGUAAAAAAUCGCAAAGUAGGCUCCUUGUGUGCACAGAAAAGCUCUUCCCUAGACUUCAGGUCACUGUGUAAAGUCUCUGCCUUCUUUUGUUUUGUCCUCUUCCCUUUUUGCUCCUCCCCUUACCCCAAGAGAUUAUGAAAAAUACUUGUUGACAUCCCUAAAUAGAGCAAUAAUAUUAAUGCUUAAUUAUUGGUGUUUUGACUGCACGUAGGUGUACUUGAGGGUGUCAGGUUCCCUGGACCUGCAGUUAUAGACAGUUGUGAGCUGCCACGCAGGUGCUGAGAGCCACUACUCCUCACUGCUGACCCAUCUUUCCUGCCACUAACUUAGGAUCUUAUUAUACAAUAAAAGAUACUUGAUUGAAAAGCUGAGUUGCAGUCAUAAAAAUGGACAGGAAGAGACAAUUUAAUGUGGUAUUCAUAAUACUGAAAUUGAUAGUCGUGUGUGAACACAUACACACAAUUAUCUGUGUGUCUGUCUGACUGUCUGAGUAUAUGCCAUGUAUAUAAAUACUCUUAGAAGCCAGAAGAGGAUGUCAGUUCUUCUAGAACUGGUGCUAUAGAUGCUCAUGAACUGCCCCUGUAGGUACUGGGAACCAACUUAAGCAGUAAGUUAGAAUAGUUAGGACUUUUAACCUUUGAACCAUCUCUUUACCCUUCUCCUCCCUUUUUACUGAAGACAGGUUCUUUCACUGAACUUGAAGGUGAUUGAUUAAGUUAUGUGGGCUGGUCAGUAAGCGUCAGGGAGCUUCCUAUCUCCAUCUGCUACCCAGCAGUUGGAUUACAAGCAGAUGCUACCAUGCUCCGCUUUUUAUGUAGGUUCUGGGGAAUAGGAACUCAAAUCUACUUGUUUAAGAGGCAAGUCUUUUAUCCACUGAGAUUUCUAAAUCCAUUAGUUAUUGAUAGUAUGGCAAUGAAAAAAACUGAUUCAAAGAUGGCUUUGUAUUUUUGGAGCCCAGAUCUUAGGGAACCUGAGUUCCUCCGAAUUUUUAUCUCAUCUCUAAGCUAAACUGCUAUGUAUGCCUUGGGAAUAUGCAGCUUUCUAUAUGUAACUGAAAACAGUCUUUUAGUAACUUCAAUAUAUGCCCAAGAAUUUGGAGCACAUAUAUUGCAAAAAUGCAAUUUUUUUUUUUUUGCAGUUCAACAAUCUGGAUCCUAUCUUAUUCAUUAAAUAAGGACCUGGCAGAGUCCUGAAAUAUGAGCGUUUUCUUUUGUGCUUGGGGUCUGGUUGGAAGAGUGAUUUCCGUGGAGACAGAAAAUCAGAAGCAAUCAAAAUGCAGUUUAUGGAGCUUAGUCCCAACAAUUACCUCUCCAACUCCGUCACCUAUGGCCCACUGAAGAGGGCUCUUCAUUGCAGAAGAGAGUGUAGAAAGAUCGGAAGAGCCGGAAGGUUGAGGAAGUUGUUAUGGGAUGGAGUUUGCUCUGAGAUGGUGUCUCCUAGGAAUGUCAGAAGGGCUAGACCAAUAAAUAUCCUUUCAUGGUUAAAAAAUACUAUAAAAAUGAGGUCUGGAAGGAAUUUAUCCUAACAUAGGGGAUACGUGUGAAAACUUUCUAGCUUCUAUCAUUAUAAACAGAAGGAAAGCUGAAAUUGUUGUGCAGAGAUAGUGGUUCGAGACCCCUUUGGGGGUUGAAUGACCAUUUCACAGAGGUUGCCUGAAACCAUCUGAAAAAGAUAGUUAUAUUAUAAUUCAUAACAUUAGCAAAAUUACAAUUAUAAAAUAACAAUGAAAUUUAUGGUUGGGGGUCACUACAAAUUGAGGAACUGUAUGAAAGGGUCUCAGCAUGAUGAUGGUUGAGAACCACUGGUCUAAGAUGAGGAAUAAGACAAAGAUUCCAUCUUCACAACUCAUAUUUAAUAUAGUAUUAGAAGUUCAGGCCAAGAAAUAAAACAAGAAAAAGAAAUGAAGGACAUCCAAAUAGAAAAGGAACAAGUCAAAUUACUUCUGUUUAUAAAAUUAUGACUACACAUAUAGAAAAUCGAUUUCCUCCCUGCAAAAAUUUUUACAGUGAUAAAUUUAAUAGUUACAGGCUAUAAAACCACCAUAAAAAUAAGUAGCAUUUUGUACUUUAUUAAUAAAGUUUCUAAGAAACCAAAGAAGCAAUCUCAAAAACAGAUGUAAAAAAUACAUAAAAGAAAAUUUUAAACAAGGAAAUUAAUGAUCUCUGCAAAGAAAUGAACAAAACACUGUUGAGAUAAAUUGAAGAUGACACACAAAAAAUGAAAAGAAAUCCUAUGCUAUGCUUUUGGAAUGAAAAAUAAUAAUAUUAAUAUAUUAACUGUUCCUACCAAAAUAUCAUUGAAAUUUUUCAUGUAGAAAACACACUCCAAACAAAUUUUAUGAAACUACUAAAGAACUUAAAAAUAGCAAAAAGAGUUCUGAGCAAAACAAACAAUACCGGAGAUAUUGCAAUGUCUGCUAUGUAAACAUACUUAGUAUUACUAAAGAAAGUAUAGAGUGAUAGAAAGCAAAACAUAGGUGAAUGACCUGAAUUGACUUUGCCCCAAUAUAUUGUAUAAAUUGCUAAGAAGAAUAUGAAAAAAAAAAACGUAUCAUCAGAGAAAUGCAAAUUGAAACCUCCUCAAGAUAUCAUAUUACCCCUAUUAGAAUGCAUAUCAUAAAAAGAACAAACACAGGUUGGCAAAGAUGAGAAAUUGGGAACUCUCAUGUAAUGGCGGAAAUAUAAAUUAGGACAUAAGGGAAAACAGUAUGGAAUAUAAUAUGGAAUUUCUCUACAAAGCUAUAAGAAAAGCCUUAUAUGAUCUAUGAAUCCCACUACUGCUAAGGAGUCAAAGGAAAUGACAUCAUCAUCAGGCAUGCUGCACUAGCAUGCUGGUUGCAGAAUUUUCAAAAUAGCCAGUACAUCGAAUCAGCCUAUGUGUAAGAUAAAUAGACAAGGAAAAUGUGGUGGAAAUACAUAACGGAGUGAAAGCAAUGAAGAGAACAGAAGUCUGUGGAUUGUAGCAUGACUGAAGACAUUAAAAAGAGUGAAAACUCAGACGCAAAAGCUGAAGUCACAUGCUCUCUCCUAUGGGUGCUAAAGUUGAUUUCACAGAGAAUAAAAUAAUACCAGAGGCUGCUUAGUAUUACACAGAGUAUUGUUGUUGGUUUCCAGUUAGCAGGUUGAUAUGGGGAAUAACUUCUAAUAUUUUUUUUCUUUUUUAAAAAUAUGUUUUAUUAUUACUUAUUUUCCUCAAUUACAUUUAGAAUGCUAUCCCAAAAGUCCCCCAUACCCCCCCCCCACUUCCCUACCUACCCAUUCCCAUUUAUUGGCCCUGGCAUUCCCCUGUACUGGGGCAUAUACAGUUUGUGUGUCCAAUGGGCCUGUCUUCCCACUGAUGGCCGACUAGGCCAUCUUUUGAUACAUAUGCAGCUAGAGUCAAGAGCUCUGGGGUACUGGUUAGUUCAUAAUGUUGUUCCACCUAUAGGGUUGCAGAUCCCUUUAGUUCCUUGGGUACUUUCUCUAGCUCCUCCAUUGGGGGUGCUGUGCUCCAUCCAAUAGCUGACUGUGAGCAUCUACUUAUGUGUUUGCUAGGCCCAGGCCUAGUCUCACAAGAGACAGCUAUAUCAGGGUCCUUUCAGCAAAAUCUUGCUAGUGUAUGCAAUGGUGUCAUCAUUUGGAGGUUAAUUAUGGGAUGGAUCUCUGGAUAUGGCAGUCUCUAGAUGGUCCAUCCUUUUGUCUCAGCUCCAAACUUUGUCUCUGUAACUCCUUCCAUGGGUGAUUGUUUCCAAUUCUAAGAAGGGGCAAAGUGUACACACUUUGGUCUUUGUUCUUCUUCAGUUUCAUGUGUUUUGCAAAUUGUAUCUUAUAUCUCGGGUAUACUAAGUUUCUGGGCUAAUAUCCACUUAUCAGUGAGUACAUAUCAUUUGAGUUCUUUUGUGAUUGUGUUACCUCACUCAGGAUGAUGCCCUCCAGGUCCAUCCAUUUGCCUAGGAAUUUCAUAAAUUCAUUCUUUUUAAUAGCUGAGCAGUACUCCAUUGUGUAAAUGUACCACAUUUUUUGUAUCCAUUCCUCUGUUGAGGGGCAUAGCAUACAUAAUUACUAUGUUUCUUGACAAUUAAUUGAACAUUUCAAAAUAGAUAGCAGAGAGAAAUUUGGAUGCUCAAAUAUUGUAGGAAAAGUUUUAGAUAUUUCACUUAUAUUUCCAUGUCACAAACAUGUGUGGUAGGUUGUGUUUGUUUUUGUCACCCCUCUGUAACUAAAACCCUUCACAGAAGUAACUUGAGGGGGAUUUCCUUCAGCUCGAGGUUUCAGAGGGCUGUCAUUGAUUUUAGAGAAGGGAAGCACAACAGAGCAGUUCGGUUCAUAUUGGUGAAAGCUGUUCGCAUGGUAAUGGAUGAGGAAGCAGAGCCAGAUAGCCUGCAAAGGGAAUGCCUCUCCAGACCUACUUCUGCCAGAUUGGCCCCAUUCUGCAAAGUUCCUGCAACCUCCCAAAAGAGAACCAUCAGCUGGGAAAGAAGCCAAACAAGACUUCAUAACGAGAACUUCUGAGGACUAAUUCAGAGGGAAAUCACACACUAUGGAUUAA